rnacentral:rRNA from 1 species
GAUCCUGGCUCAGGAUGAACGCUGGCGGCGUGCUUAACACAUGCAAGUCGAGCGAAGCAAUCUAAGUGAAGUUUUCGGAUGGAUCUUGGAUUGACUGAGCGGGCGGACGGGUGAAGGUAACGCGUGGAUAACCUGCCUCACACAGAGGGAUAACAGUUAGAAAUGACUGCUAAUACCGCAUAAGCGCACAGUACCGCAUGGUACAGUGUGAAAAAACUCCGGU